rnacentral:misc_RNA from 1 species
AACGCACAUUGCGCCCUCUGGUAUUCCGGGGGGCAUGCCUGUUCGAGCGUCAUUGCAGCAGUCAAGCUUUGCUUGGUAUUGGGUGGUCAUCCUUCGAGGGUACCCCCGAAAAUCAGCGGCGAUGCAGCUGGACUCUGAGCGCAGUAAACUAUACAGUACGCUUUGGAGCUCCAGGUGGAUUUGCCGGCCAACACACCAUACUAUUCAAUGGUUGACCUCGGAUCAGGUAGGGAUACCCGCUGAACUUAA